rnacentral:misc_RNA from 1 species
GAUGAAGAACGCAGCGAAAUGCGAUAAGUAAUGUGAAUUGCAGAAUUCAGUGAAUCAUCGAAUCUUUGAACGCACAUUGCGCCCGCCAGUAUUCUGGCGGGCAUGCCUGUCCGAGCGUCAUUUCAACCCUCGAACCCCUCCGGGGGGUCGGCGUUGGGGACCUCGGGAGCCCCUAAGACGGGAUCCCGGCCCCGAAAUACAGUGGCGGUCUCGCCGCAGCCUGUCCUGCGCAGUAGUUUGCACAACUCGCACCGGGAGCGCGGCGCGUCCACGUCCGUAAAACACCCAACUUCUGAAAUGUUGACCUCGGAUCAGGUAGGAAUACCCGCUGAACUUAAGCAUAUCAAUAAGCGGAGGA